GCACAGGAAUACGGCAGAGAUGUCGUAGUCCCGCAAGGGAUCUGUGAACAGGUGCUGCAUGGCUGUCGUCAGCUCGUGCCGUGAGGUGUUGGGCUAAGUCCCGCAACGAGCGCAACCCUUAUCAUUAGUUGCUACGCAAGGGCACUCUAAUGAGACUGCCGGUGACAAACCGGAGGAAGGUGGGGAUGACGUCAAGUCCUCAUGGCCCUUAUGGGUAGGGCUUCACACGUCAUACAAUGGUCGGUACAGAGGGUUGCCAAGCCGCGAGGCGGAGCCAAUCCCACAAAGCCGAUCGUAGUCCGGAUUGUUCUCUGCAACUCGAGAGCAUGAAGUCGGAAUCGCUAGUAAUCGCAGGUCAGCAUACUGCGGUGAAUACGUUCCCGGGUCUU
rnacentral:rRNA from 1 species